UUAAGCGACUAAGCGUACACGGUGGAUGCCCUGGCAGUCAGAGGCGAUGAAGGACGUGCUAAUCUGCGAUAAGCGUCGGUAAGGUGAUAUGAACCGUUAUAACCGGCGAUUUCCGAAUGGGGAAACCCAGUGUGUUUCGACACACUAUCAUUAACUGAAUCCAUAGGUUAAUGAGGCGAACCGGGGGAACUGAAACAUCUAAGUACCCCGAGGAAAAGAAAUCAACCGAGAUUCCCCCAGUAGCGGCGAGCGAACGGGGAGCAGCCCAGAGCCUGAAUCAGUAUGUGUGUUAGUGGAAGCGUCUGGAAAGGCGCGCGAUACAGGGUGACAGCCCCGUACACAAAAAUGCACAUGCUGUGAGCUCGAUGAGUAGGGCGGGACACGUGGUAUCCUGUCUGAAUAUGGGGGGACCAUCCUCCAAGGCUAAAUACUCCUGACUGACCGAUAGUGAACCAGUACCGUGAGGGAAAGGCGAAAAGAACCCCGGCGAGGGGAGUGAAAAAGAACCUGAAACCGUGUACGUACAAGCAGUGGGAGCACAGAGCAAUCUGUGUGACUGCGUACCUUUUGUAUAAUGGGUCAGCGACUUAUAUUCUGUAGCAAGGUUAACCGAAUAGGGGAGCCGAAGGGAAACCGAGUCUUAACUGGGCGUUAAGUUGCAGGGUAUAGACCCGAAACCCGGUGAUCUAGCCAUGGGCAGGUUGAAGGUUGGGUAACACUAACUGGAGGACCGAACCGACUAAUGUUGAAAAAUUAGCGGAUGACUUGUGGCUGGGGGUGAAAGGCCAAUCAAACCGGGAGAUAGCUGGUUCUCCCCGAAAGCUAUUUAGGUAGCGCCUCGUGAAUUCAUCUCCGGGGGUAGAGCACUGUUUCGGCAAGGGGGUCAUCCCGACUUACCAACCCGAUGCAAACUGCGAAUACCGGAGAAUGUUAUCACGGGAGACACACGGCGGGUGCUAACGUCCGUCGUGAAGAGGGAAACAACCCAGACCGCCAGCUAAGGUCCCAAAGUCAUGGUUAAGUGGGAAACGAUGUGGGAAGGCCCAGACAGCCAGGAUGUUGGCUUAGAAGCAGCCAUCAUUUAAAGAAAGCGUAAUAGCUCACUGGUCGAGUCGGCCUGCGCGGAAGAUGUAACGGGGCUAAACCAUGCACCGAAGCUGCGGCAGCGACGCUGAUGCGUUGUUGGGUAGGGGAGCGUUCUGUAAGCCUGCGAAGGUGUGCUGUGAGGCAUGCUGGAGGUAUCAGAAGUGCGAAUGCUGACAUAAGUAACGAUAAAGCGGGUGAAAAGCCCGCUCACCGGAAGACCAAGGGUUCCUGUCCAACGUUAAUCGGGGCAGGGUGAGUCGACCCCUAAGGCGAGGCCGAAAGGCGUAGUCGAUGGGAAACAGGUUAAUAUUCCUGUACUUGGUGUUACUGCGAAGGGGGGACGGAGAAGGCUAUGUUGGCCGGGCGACGGUUGUCCCGGUUUAAGCGUGUAGGCUGGUUUUCCAGGCAAAUCCGGAAAACUAAGGCUGAGGCGUGAUGACGAGGCACUACGGUGCUGAAGCAACAAAUGCCCUGCUUCCAGGAAAAGCCUCUAAGCAUCAGGUAACAUCAAAUCGUACCCCAAACCGACACAGGUGGUCAGGUAGAGAAUACCAAGGCGCUUGAGAGAACUCGGGUGAAGGAACUAGGCAAAAUGGUGCCGUAACUUCGGGAGAAGGCACGCUGAUAUGUAGGUGAAGCGACUUGCUCAUGGAGCUGAAAUCAGUCGAAGAUACCAGCUGGCUGCAACUGUUUAUUAAAAACACAGCACUGUGCAAACACGAAAGUGGACGUAUACGGUGUGACGCCUGCCCGGUGCCGGAAGGUUAAUUGAUGGGGUUAGCGGUAACGCGAAGCUCUUGAUCGAAGCCCCGGUAAACGGCGGCCGUAACUAUAACGGUCCUAAGGUAGCGAAAUUCCUUGUCGGGUAAGUUCCGACCUGCACGAAUGGCGUAAUGAUGGCCAGGCUGUCUCCACCCGAGACUCAGUGAAAUUGAACUCGCUGUGAAGAUGCAGUGUACCCGCGGCAAGACGGAAAGACCCCGUGAACCUUUACUAUAGCUUGACACUGAACAUUGAGCCUUGAUGUGUAGGAUAGGUGGGAGGCUUUGAAGUGUGGACGCCAGUCUGCAUGGAGCCGACCUUGAAAUACCACCCUUUAAUGUUUGAUGUUCUAACGUUGACCCGUAAUCCGGGUUGCGGACAGUGUCUGGUGGGUAGUUUGACUGGGGCGGUCUCCUCCUAAAGAGUAACGGAGGAGCACGAAGGUUGGCUAAUCCUGGUCGGACAUCAGGAGGUUAGUGCAAUGGCAUAAGCCAGCUUGACUGCGAGCGUGACGGCGCGAGCAGGUGCGAAAGCAGGUCAUAGUGAUCCGGUGGUUCUGAAUGGAAGGGCCAUCGCUCAACGGAUAAAAGGUACUCCGGGGAUAACAGGCUGAUACCGCCCAAGAGUUCAUAUCGACGGCGGUGUUUGGCACCUCGAUGUCGGCUCAUCACAUCCUGGGGCUGAAGUAGGUCCCAAGGGUAUGGCUGUUCGCCAUUUAAAGUGGUACGCGAGCUGGGUUUAGAACGUCGUGAGACAGUUCGGUCCCUAUCUGCCGUGGGCGCUGGAGAACUGAGGGGGGCUGCUCCUAGUACGAGAGGACCGGAGUGGACGCAUCACUGGAGUUCGGGUUGUCAUGCCAAUGGCACUGCCCGGUAGCUAAAUGCGGAAGAGAUAAGUGCUGAAAGCAUCUAAGCACGAAACUUGCCCCGAGAUGAGUUCUCCCUGACUCCUUGAGAGUCCUGAAGGAACGUUGAAGACGACGACGUUGAUAGGCCGGAUGUGUAAGCGCAGCGAUGCGUUGAGCUAACCGGUACUAAUGAACCGUGAGGCUUAACCUU
rnacentral:rRNA from 1 species